rnacentral:rRNA from 1 species
AUCAGGACGAACGCUGGCGGCGUGCUUAAUCCAUGCAAGUCGAGCGGACAGAUGGGAGCUUAGUUCCCUGAUGUUAGCGGCGGACGGGUGAGUAACACGUGGGUAACCUGCCUGUAAGACUGAGGAUAAUUCCGGGAAACCGGGGCUAAUACCGGAUGCUUGAUUGAACCGCAUGGUUCAAUUAAUAAAAGGUGGCUUCGGCUACCACUUACAGAUGGACCCGCGGCGCAUUAGCUAGUUGGUGAAGGUAACGGCUCACCAAGGCAACGAUGCGUAGCCGACCUGAGAGGGUGAUCGGCCACACUAGGGACUGAGACACGGCCCAGACUCCUACGGGAGGCAGCAGUAGGGAAUCUUCCGCAAUGGAACGAAAGUCUGACGGAGCAACGCCGCGUGAGUGAUGAAGGUUUUCGGAUCGUAAAACUCUAGUUGUUAGGGAAGAACAAGUACCGUUCGAAUAGGGCGGUACCUUGACGGUACCUAACCAGAAAAGCCACGGCUAACUACGUGCCAGCAGCCGCGGUAAUACGUAGGUGGCAAGCGUUGUCCAGCAGGCGGUUUCUUAAGUCUGAUGUGAAAGCCCCCGGGAAUUAUUGGGCGUAAAGCGCGCGCAGGCGGUUUCUUAAGUCUGAUGUGAAAGCCCCCGAGCUCAACCGGGGAGGGUCAUUGGAAACUGGGGAACUUGAGUGCAGAAGAGGAGAGUGGAAGCUCAACCGGGGAGGGUCAUUGGAAACUGGGGAACUUGAGUGCAGAAGAGGAGAGUGGAAAUUCCACGUGUAGCGGUGAAAUGCGUAGAGAUGUGGAGGAACACCAGUGGCGAAGGCGACUUUCCACGUGUAGCGGUGAAAUGCGUAGAGAUGUGGAGGAACACCAGUGGCGAAGGCGACUACUCUGGUCUGUAACUGACGCUGAGGCGCGAAAGCGUGGGGAGCGAACAGGAUUAGAUACCCUCUGGUCUGUAACUGACGACUGGUAGUCCACGCCGUAAACGAUGAGUGCUAAGUGUUAGAGGGUUUCCGCCCUUUAGUGACUGCAGCAAACGCAUUAAGCACUCCGCCUGGGGAGUACGGUCGCAAGACUGAAACUCAAAAGGAAUUGACGGGGGCCCGCACAAGCGGUGGAGCAUGUGGUUUAAUUCGAAGCAACGCGAAAGAACCUUACCAGGUCUUGACAUCCUCUGACAACCCUAGAGAUAGGGCUUCCCCUUCGGGGAGCAGAGUGACAGGUGGUGCAUGGUUGUCGUCAGCUCGUGUCGUGAGAUGUUGGGUUAAGUACCCGCAACGAGCGCAACCCUUGAUCUUAGUUGCCAGCAUUCAGUUGGGCACUCUAAGGUGAACUGCCGGUGACAAACCGGAGGAAGGUGGGGAUGACGUCAAAUCAUCAUGCCCCUUAUGAACCUGGGCUACACACGUGCUACAAUGGGCAGAACAAAGGGCAGCGAAGCCGCGAGGCUAAGACCAAUCCCACAAAUCUGUUCUCAGUUCGGAUCGCAGUCUGCAACUCGACUGCGUGAAGCUAGGAAUCGCUAGUAAUCGCGGAUCAGCAUGCCCGGUGGAAUACCGUUCCCGGGGCCUUGUAACACACCGCCCGUCACACCACGGAGAGUUUGUAACACCCGAAGUCGGUGAGGUAACCUUUUAAGGAGCCAG